rnacentral:rRNA from 1 species
UACAGAGGGGCAAGCGUUGUUCGGAAUUACUGGGCGUAAAGGGCGCGUAGGCGGCCUUCUAAGUCGAACGUGAAAUCCCUGGGCUCAACCCAGGAACUGCGUCGAUACUGGAUGGCUUGGAUUGGGAGAGGGAUGCGGAAUUCCAGGUGGUAGCGGGUGAAAUGACGUAGAUAUCUGGAGGAACACCGGUGGCGAAGGCGGCAUCCUGGAC